GAAAGUCCGACGGUACAGGGUGAUAGUCCCGUACACCAAAAUGCACAGGUUGUGAACUCGAAGAGUAGGGCGGGACACGUGGUAUCCUGUCUGAAUAUGGGGGGACCAUCCUCCAAGGCUAAAUACUCCUGACUGACCGAUAGUGAACCAGUACCGUGAGGGAAAGGCGAAAAGAACCCCGGCGAGGGGAGUGAAAAAGAACCUGAAACCGUGUACGUACAAGCAGUGGGAGCCCCUUCGGGUGUGACUGCGUACCUUUUGUAUAAUGGGUCAGCGACUUAUAUUCUGUAGCAAGGUUAACCGUAUAGGGGAGCCGCAGGGAAACCGAGUCUUAACUGGGCGUUAAGUUGCAGGGUAUAGACCCGAAACCCGGUGAUCUAGCCAUGGGCAGGUUGAAGGUUGGGUAACACUAACUGGAGGACCGAACCGACUAAUGUUGAAAAAUUAGCGGAUGACUUGUGGCUGGGGG
rnacentral:rRNA from 1 species